rfam:Myotis brandtii contig299143, whole genome shotgun sequence.
GCCAUCAUGGCUCAGUGGUUGAGCAUGGACCUGUGAACCUGGAGGUCAUGGUUCAAUUCCCUGUCAUGGCA